rnacentral:rRNA from 1 species
UACGGGGGGGGCAAGCGUUGUUCGGAAUUACUGGGCGUAAAGGGCGCGUAGGCGGCCUGCUAAGUCGAACGUGAAAUCCCUGGGCUCAACCCAGGAACUGCGUCCGAUACUGGUUGGCUUGAAUCCGGGAGAGGGAUGUGGAAUUCCAGGUGUAGCGGUGAAAUGCGUAGAUAUCUGGAGGAACACCGGUGGCGAAGGCGACAUCCUGGACCGGUAUUGACGCUGAGACGCGAAAGCGUGGGGAGCAAACAGG